rnacentral:lncRNA from 1 species
GUUAGACUAUGGAUGGAAUCCUAAAACUUGGGUGGCAGCAAAUAGAGCUUGCAGUGUGAAAAUAAUGGCGAGAACAAAAAAAAUGACAACAUUUUGACUCUAAAUUUGACAAUUGUUGAACGUUUGAGAACAAUUGUUGGGUUGUUGAUUUUAGGAUGAAGAUAAAGUGGUUUAAGAAAAGGGCUCUGAAUUUGCCUACAUUAGCUGAAACUGGCUGUGGAGGUCAAGUUGGAGGACAAAGAUCCAGAAGAUCAAAUUUCUAUUGUUUCCUCUUUACAAAACCCCUUAAAUUCUACUAACCAUUAUUAUCAUCCAAAUGGGGACUAACUUCAUGCUCCAUGGGAAUUUCAAUUUUGGAAGAGGAAAAACUAGACAGGAAUCCACUUAGUUUCAAUUUCAUGCGAAAAUAAAUUUAACCGUGCAAGCAUAUAAAUAACUGAAUCUGAAUUUUUAUGACAAAGUCUCCAAUAAUAACUAUAAAACUUGCUGAGGGAAAUAAUUGGUUCCAAAUCAAAAACAGAAAUUUUUAAACUGGUAACAAGUUGCCAAAAAACAUAGAUAAACAAGACUCCACAGCAAUUACACCCAAGGGAAAAUGCCUCAAGACAUAGAACAAGAUCUUCAGUCUUCCUCUUCACCCUCAUUCUCAGCAAUGUUGAAGUAUCUCAACUCAUAGACAUU